CCAGGUGUGGCUGUACGAUUCUUGCUAUAAGAUUGUUGGCGGUACCCUCCAAAGCUGCAGUUGUAACUUCCGAAGCAACACCCCUUCUAUCAAUGCUGAAACUAUUUUCCUUGCCUUUGAGUCCUGGAGUGUGUCAAUAAGUUCUUCGUUGUCCAGAAUAUUUCCCUCAGAUGUAAAGAGCAUUCUCAGGAUUUUCUCCUCGAUACUUUUCAGCUGGUUUUUAUCUGUGUUGAUCCUCACAAUGAGCUUGAUUCUUUGUUCCUCCAGCUCCGGUUUUUCGAGUCGUACCACGUCACUGGAACCGAAGUUGGAAGACUUCACUUAUGGCGUUAGCAGUGCCCUGAAAUUGCUUCUAUCUUUCUUUGCUACUUAGCUGAGUACAAAGGGUGCUAGCCAAAUCCUAGUGCAUCAGGCCCUUCUUUGCUGGGUUUACACAGUGGCUCUUCACUGAAUAACUUGUUAGUUCUGAUUCUUUAUCUUGUAUUUCAAAACUGACACCCUAUCACUGUCCCCAUAGCUUCUGCUCGUCUUCUCUUUGGAAAACCUUCUCAGUGCUUGGGUUUCCUAAUCCUUCAAUUUCUGUUUCUAAUGCUUGCUUGUGCCAGUCUGAAAAUGGUGCCUGGACAUUCUUUUUAAGGGCAAUUCUGAAAUUCUAGCACCUCCAUGAAACAAGUCUUGACUAGGUCUAAUAAAGGGGCUUACCUCCAGCUCCACCCCUGUCUAAACAUGUGAACUUAGAUCUCCUUUCACUUGUGCUUUCGUAAUUUGCUCCCAGUCCUAUGUUUGCAGGAACUAAUCUUUAUUAAGCAUUACUCAGUGCCAGGUGCCCCACUUAGGAUUUUAUGAGGAUUUCUCUUUUAAUUCUUUGAAUGCUCCUGUGAGGUGGGCACUAUGAUUACCACCCCAGCUUGUAGAGGAGGGAACAGAACCUAGGGGGACACUUCCUGAGGUCUAGUGGCUCUGAGAGGUGGAGCUGGCCUUGUCCCUGACUUAGCUGACUCCAGGGCACAUGCUUUACCCACUAGGAUGAACUUCCUCAUUGUUCCUUUAUUAUGUACAUACUGAUUUCAGAAACUUUAAAAAUUAAUAUCUGAACACCACAAGAAAUCUUAAGUUCAUUUGCUAAAAUAAUUUUUUCAGAAGAGAGGAGUAUAAAAUAUAACCCAGAGAUUCUGUACUCUACACCUGAGCUUCAACAUUCUCUCUUCCAGGGCACUUCUCUGUGUCCCCAGCAGUCUAACAUGCUGACAGCUUGUGACACAACUAUAUGUUAACUCUUCAUGGGAGUGCACUGGUAUGAAAACUGGUCAACCAUGUCCUUCAAACAUGUCCAUAAAAUGUAGUCUAUCCUUUGUCUGGAAAGAAGCCUAGUGGAAGUUAAGUUAGCAGUUGUUAGAAUAGAUUCCUAAAAUAAACAAGGAAAACGUGCCUCACACUCAGUGAUUAUGGGAAUACAUCUAGGUGAUCUUGACCCAAUUUUGGCCUAACUUGAGGGGCUUGACAACUUAUUUUAAACAUGGGUCUAAAUUAUUUUUUCCUUUAGAAUUAGUGUAUGAAUAUACACAUACAUACUCAUAUAUAUUCACACACACAUAUAAUGAGUUUUUAACCAAUAUAAAUGAUAUUAUUUCAAUAAAUACAUUUUUUGUCUCUUAUGCCUGUUGGCUAAUUCUGAUAAUUAAUAUCAACAAUUCAUAAUCUCAUUUUUGGGAAGAGAGAAUUAAUCACAGAGUGUACUGAAAGAGGGUAUUUUUUUGAGGUGGACAAAUGUAGGUAAAAUUAAGUACACCAAGAAAACACAUGUAGACAGACAGGUAAAAGAGGAAAGCUGUAUUUGGGAGUUUUUCUCACAGGUAUGGAGCAAAGCAUCUCAAGGAGCCACACAACCACUGACUUCAUUCACUUCCCCAAGGCUGGAAACCCCAGUGAAGGGGAAGAGGCAGGGCUGGGCUGAAGACCUGGUCCAAACCGUGAUUGAGAAUUAAGGGUAUAUCCCUAAUCUCCUUGAGAAGACUGAGUGAAACUGGCAGCUGCCAAAGUGACAAGAGAUGAAGAACCUGGUCCUUUACUAUCAUUUUUAUGACUGAGAACUGGAUCCCAGAUAUGGUCUGAACGUUGGGGACUAACAGGAGAAAAGAAAAGUGAAAAGCAAACCUCUUCCAGUAAGACAGGUUGUCAAGGCAAUGUGUUGGGCUGGAGGAGGCUCCAGCAGUGCACAUCUAACAGAAGACACAUUGGAUCAUCUGUUUAUUUCUCUUCAGUCCCUCAGUGAAAUAAGAAGACACAUUAUCAGCUGGAAGCAAGAAAUGGAAGGAGGUGCUGGUGGUCUGAGGGAAGCUAUGACGUCCUUAGACUAAGACUGUGCUCGGAGGGCAUUGGAAGGCACAGCAUGCUGAAAUGUCGGAUGAAGCGGGGAGUCACAGGGUUGCGGCCACCACCUGGAGGUGCACAUGCUGAUACGAUUGUUACAUCCUGGGUGGGAACAAGUCCACACAAGUCAGCCCACAAAGAAAGAGAUGACAUCUGCCCAUACCGGUGGCAGGACUCAGAACCAACACAUUUUUGAGGACGUACCAUAUGACAGCAUUACCUUAUGUCUUCCUACACAUUAUCUGACUUAGGAGAUCACUACCUCAGGAGAUCACUACCAUUACCCUCAUUCUGUAGAUGAAAAAAAAUCAAGACCCUGGGUAGUUAUUGCUCAAGAUCAUCAGCUAGUGCCUCUAUCUGUAGAAAUAUACCUAUAUAAACAUUUAGUCUUAAAGAAUUGUCAAGAAGUUGUAUGUUAGGUUAAAAGAUAUUCAUUUAACAAAUAUUAAGUAUAGUUGAUUCUUGUUAUUUGCAGUAGUUAUGUCCUAUAAAAUCACUGGAAUGCUGAAUUUACACACACUGAACCAUUGUUCUUAGGGAAAAUACAAAGUUAGGUUCCUAUGAGCCUUCGGUCAUAACAUUUUCAAUUGGCCAAUACAUCAUAACUGUAAUUGCUUCUGGUCUUGCCUCCUCUCAGACCACCCCUCCCCUGAAACCAAGGGAAUCUUUCUGUAACAUUUCCUCUAGGGGCUGCACAUCUCUUAGAGGAUAAAUCCACAUUCCUUGUUGUGGCACCAUGUGGGCUGACCUUUGCUUCUUCUGCCACUUUGGCACCCACAUUCCACAGCACCAUUAUAUUCAACAUUCCCUGAUUUAAGAUGCAAAAUGCUCCUUUUCCUUACUUUGCUAUGCUCUGACCCCAAAAUCCUGUUUCAACAUCAUCACUUCUGGGAAGGCGUCUCUCAUCCUCAACCGGUGCCUCAAUCCCUGCCUCCCUCCAGUCUCUCCCCACUCAUCACCCUGCGUUAUAAAUACAUGUGUCCAUCUGCUCCCUGAAGCUGAGCCUUUGGGGAGGUGGGCCUGUCUCACUUGUCCCUGAAUGUCCUGAAUAAAGUAGGGUAAGAAUUUAAUAUAGAUUAAAUAAAUUGAGUCACAUAUAAAAAACACCAAGGCCAUAGGUUAGAGGAUGAAUUAUGUCCUUUUCUCCUGGCCAAAUAAAUGUUGAAGGCUCAACCCCUGGUAUCUCAGAAUGUGAUUAUAUUUGGAGAGAGGGUCUGUAAGGAGGUAGUUAAGUUAAAUUGAGGUCAUUAGGACAGGCUCUAAUCCAGUAUGACUGGUGUCUUUAUGAGAAGAAGACAUUUGGACACAGAUAGAUGCAGAGGGAAGAUCAUAAGAAGAAACAGGGAGAAGACAGCCAUCUGAAAAUCAGGGGGAGAAGCCUCAGAAGAAACCAACCCUGCUGAUAUCCUGAUCUCAGACUUCUGGCCUCUACAACUGGGAGACAAUAAAUUUCUGUUGUUUGAGUCACUCAGUCUGUGGUAUUUUAUAUGGCAGCCUUAGCAAACAAAUAUAUCAUCUUUUCUUACUGUUUAAAUUUAAACACACAAAGUAAUUUAAAACCUAAAGUAACCUGUAUAUCUUUCCAAAAUAGUUUGCUUCUGUCAUAAAAUCCACCAAAAUCUUGAUACUGCCGAAGUAAUUCAAUUGGAGGCUGAGAGCCAUAGCGAUCCAGUCUGGGCAUGUUUAAAUCAUCAACAAAAAUCACA